AGCAGGCGCGAAAACUUUACACUGUUGGCAACAGCGAUAAGGGGACCUCGAGUGCCAGGUUACAAAUCUGGCUGUCGUGAUGCCUAAAAAGCAUUGCAUAGCAAGGGCCGGGCAAGACCGGUGCCAGCCGCCGCGGUAACACCGGCGGCUCGAGUGGUAACCGUUAUUAUUGGGUCUAAAGGGUCUGUAGCCGGCCGGAUAAGUCUCUUGGGAAAUCCAGCAGCUCAACUGUUGGGCUUUCAGGAGAUACUGUCUGGCUCGAGGCCGGGAGAGGUGAGAGGUACUUCAGGGGUAGGGGUGAAAUCUUGUAAUCCUUGAAGGACCACCAGUGGCGAAGGCGUCUCACCAGAACGGACCUGACGGCAAGGGACGAAAGCUAGGGGCACGAACCGGAUUAGAUACCCGGGUAGUCCUAGCCGUAAACGAUACUCGCUAGGUGUCGGCCACGGUGCGACCGUUGUCGGUGCCGUAGGGAAGCCGUGAAGCGAGCCACCUGGGAAGUACGGCCGCAAGGCUGAAACUUAAAGGAAUUGGCGGGGGAGCAC
rnacentral:rRNA from 1 species